AUAGUUAAUAUUUUGGCAAUAUACGGAAUUAAAGGUAAAUUAAGGACUAGUAGCACAAUAUUACCAAUAUACAUUGAAAUUAUAACUGCCCAAAAUAUUUGAGGCUCAUCAAUCAUUAACCUUGGACC
rnacentral:ncRNA from 1 species